UUUAUUUUUUGUUUCAUUAUGUAUUUAAUUUCCAUCCAAUUCAUGUUACAAAAUGGACUUUUUUUUACUUAUUAACAAAAACAAGAACAAGUUGUAUCUAGAUAUAAUAACAUGGCAAUCCGAGGUAGAGGAAGUGGACUUGGUCGAGGGAGAGGUCGUAAUCCACCUCAGCAUUCCCCAGGUAUAUAUGUCCCUUUAGUACAAUUCUAGUUACUGCAUCAGAUUUUUAAUACAAUUCUAGUUACUGCAUCAGAUCUUCCUUCACAUAUAGGUGUUCAGAAUAACCAGCACAAAAGGCAAAUGCUAUACAAGUCUUCUGAUU
rnacentral:lncRNA from 1 species